rfam:Nicotiana sylvestris Nsyl_contig56109, whole genome shotgun sequence.
UGGAGAAUCAGACAUGGCGUGAUAUUGGUUUGGCUCAUCACUUUCUGUUGAAUUCAUGAGACAGUCUAGAGAUGAUGAGCCGGACCAAUAUCACUCUUGUAUGCUUCUGU